rnacentral:rRNA from 1 species
UACAGAGGUCCCAAGCGUUGUUCGGAUUCACUGGGCGUAAAGGGUGCGUAGGCGGUCGGGUAAGUCUGACGUGAAAUCUUCAAGCUCAACUUGGAAACUGCGUCCGAUACUAUUCGGCUAGAGGAAUGGAGGGGAGACUGGAAUACUUGGUGUAGCAGUGAAAUGCGUAGAUAUCAAGUGGAACACCAGUGGCGAAGGCGGUUCUCUGGGACGGUACUGACGCUGAGACGCGAAAGCGUGGGGAGCGAACAGG